GACGCUAUAGCGAAGUGGUUAAGGCGACAGAGCAGUACCCAUUGAGGAUAUUUGUACCUCUAAGAGGGCGCAGGUUCAAAUCCUGCUGGCGUCA